rnacentral:rRNA from 1 species
CCGGAGGAAGGUGGGGAUGACGUCAAGUCAUCAUGGCCCUUACGGCCUGGGCUACACACGUGCUACAAUGGUCGGUACAAAGGGUUGCCAAGCCGCGAGGUGGAGCUAAUACCCAUAAAACCGAUCGUAGUCCGGAUCGCAGUCUGCAACUCGACUGCGUGAAGUCGGAAUCGCUAGUAAUCGUGAAUCAGAAUGUCGACGGUGAAUACGUUCCCGGCCUU